CCUACGGGAGGCUGCAGUCGAGAAUCUUCGGCAAUGGGCGCAAGCCUGACCGAGCGACGCCGCGUGCGGGAUGAAGGCCCUCGGGUUGUAAACCGCUGUCGAGGGGGAUGAAAUUCCGGUGGGUUCUCCCAUCGGAUUGACAGAUCCCUGGAGGAAGGGUGGGCUAAGUUCGUGCCAGCAGCCGCGGUAAGACGAACCACCCAAACGUUAUUCGGAAUUACUGGGCUUAAAGAGUGCGUAGGCGGCCUUGUAAGUAGGGUGUGAAAUCCCACAGCUCAACUGUGGAACUGCGCUCUAAACUACAAGGCUAGAGGGAUAUAGAGGUGAGCAGAACUGAUGGUGGAGCGGUGAAAUGCGUUGAUAUCAUCAGGAAUACCGGAGGCGAAGGCGGCUCACUGGGUAUCUUCUGACGCUGAGGUACGAAAGCUAGGGGAGCGAAC
rnacentral:rRNA from 1 species